rnacentral:rRNA from 1 species
UACGGGGGGGAGCAAGCGUUGUUCGGAUUUACUGGGCGUAAAGGGCGCGUAGGCGGCCACUGCAAGUCAGUUGUGAAAUCGCCCCGGCUCAACUGGGCGGGGUCAGCGGAUACGGCCCGAGCUUGAGCAAGCUAGGGGGCAAUGGAAUUCCCGGUGUAGUGGUGGAAUGCGUAGAUAUCGGGAGGAACACCAGUGGCGAAGGCGGUUGCCUGGGGCUUUGCUGACGCUGAUGCCGCGAAAGCGUGGGGAGCGAUCGGCG